AAAAAAUGACACAUGUGGGGCAACUCAACUGUUCUUCGUGCAGAAUCAACAUCAAGAGAUUUUGGAAACAUAAUUUUUUGGUGCCUGGGCAGCUGGUGGGGAAAAAAUAACCCUCGUGGAUCACUAACUACAGUCUUUUAUUUUUGUGUGUGUGUGUGCAGUUUUUGGCCGGGGCUGUGUUUGAACCCACUACCUCCAGCAUAUGGGGCUGGCGCCCUA
rnacentral:snRNA from 1 species